GACGAACGCUGGCGGCGUGCCUAAUACAUGCAAGUCGAGCGAUGAAGGAGAUACUUGUAUCUUUUGAAGAGCGGCGAACGGGUGAGUAACGCGUGGGGAAUCUGCCAAUGAGUGGGGGACAACAUUUGGAAACGAAUGCUAAUACCGCAUAAAAUCUAUUGAGACAUCUCAAGAGAUUGAAAGGAACAAUUGUUUCGCUCGUUGAUGAUCCCGCGUUGUAUUAGCUAGUUGGUGAGGUAAGGGCUCACCAAGGCGAUGAUACAUAGCCGAGCUGGGAGAGUGAUCGACCACAUUCGGACUGAGACACGGCUCGAACUGCGACGGGAGGCAGCAGUAGGGAAUCUUCGGCAAUGGACGAAAGUCUGACCGAGCAACGCCGCGUGAGUGAAGAAGGUUUUCGGAUCGUAAAGCUCUGUUGUUGUUAAAGAACGUUGAUGAUAGUGGAAAGUUCAUCAAGUGACGGUAAACAACCAGAAAGGGACGGCUAACUACGUGCCAGCCGCCGCGGUAAAAC
rnacentral:rRNA from 1 species